rnacentral:lncRNA from 1 species
CUGAGAGAUGACAACCAGUGUGGGAGGAAGGGGAACGGGACAGGGAAGAGGUGGGGUAAUACAACUCCAUCUUGCCUUCAGAACAUCCUGAAGAGGGUGGAGGAAGGGUCUGAACGUGAAGGCACUGCCUUGGAUGCCCACAAGGAGCUAGAAAUGGUGGUAAAGGCGUGCAACGAGGGUGUCCGGAAGAUGAGCCGCACAGAACAGAUGAUCAGCAUUCAGAAGAAGAUGGAGUUCAAGAUCAAGUCGGUACCUAUCAUCUCACACUCCCGGUGGCUGCUGAAGCAAGGUGAACUACAGCAGAUGUCCGGCCCCAAGACCUCCCGCACCCUGCGGACCAAGAAGCUCUUCAGAGAGAUUUACCUCUUCCUCUUCAAUGACCUGCUGGUGAUCUGCCGGCAGAUCCCUGGAGACAAGUACCAGGUGUUCGAUUCCGCUCCAAGGGGCCUGCUGCGAGUGGAGGAGCUGGAGGACCAGGGCCAGACACUGGCUAAUGUGUUCAUCCUGCGGCUGCUGGAAAACGCAGAUGACCGGGAGGCCACCUAUAUGCUGAAGGCAUCCUCCCAGAGCGAGAUGAAGCGUUGGAUGACUUCACUGGCCCCCAACAGGAGGACCAAGUUUGUAUCCUUCACAUCUCGGCUGUUGGACUGUCCGCAGGUCCAGUGUGUCCACCCCUACGUGGCCCAGCAGCCCGAUGAGCUGACACUGGAACUGGCAGACAUCCUGAACAUCCUAGAGAAGACGGAGGAUGGGUGGAUCUUUGGUGAGCGGCUGCAUGACCAGGAGAGAGGCUGGUUCCCCAGUUCCAUGACAGAGGAGAUCCUGAACCCCAAGAUCCGCUCCCAAAACCUCAAGGAAUGUUUCCGAGUGCAUAAGAUGGAGGACCCUCAGCGCAGCCAGAAUAAGGACCGCAGGAAGUUGGGCAGCCGGAAUCGUCAAUGAAUCCCCCCCAGCUCAGGCACCAGCCUGAAGGAGGGGGUGUGGGCAGGGAUGGGAAGCAGGCCCAGCAGAGAUGCCUGACAGAUUCAGAGGGUUUUAGGGAAGAAUGUCAGUGCCUUCCCAGGCAGCAGGAGUGGCUUGGGCCUGUUCUGUCCCUGCCCACGCAGUGGAUGUUCCAGCAUCCUGGCCACUCGCUUGCUUACACACUGGCGGAAGGCUAAGUACUUAGGCAGUAUUAGACCACCACCCUCCAGCCUCUCAGAGGGAGGAGGGCAGGCAUUCUCCAGAGACCUUCCGGGGACUGGAGGAGACCCACACAAGGGUCCCUGGCAGCAGGGAGGUGGAAGGUAACCACCGUCAGGAUCCCCUGAACUGCACGUGUCCUUCCCUACCUUGGAAGCAGCUAAGAGUCUACUGGGCACACCGAUGGACCACCCCUGCCCAAGGGAGCUUGGUGAGCAGUGCUGACUCUGCCUGCCCAUCCCCGUGCCUCUGCCAGCCUCUUUUGCACGGCCAAGCCCUGCCCUCAGCAGGCCUCCCAGAGCUUAGCUGAGGGUUCAUGCCACCUCUAGCUCCCUGAAGGGCUUGAUGUCACGUGUGUCUCCUGGCCCCUGAAGGAGCCCAGGUGUUUUGCAGAAUGAAUUGGUCACUGCAUCCUUUAUGGUCAUGGUUUUGAGAAAAGCAAAUAUCAUUUUUGGCUGCAUUAAAAGAAGCAUCCUGUAUGAAACGAG